rnacentral:rRNA from 2 species
GUCGACGCGUUGGCCCAAUUGAUUGAUGGUGCUUGCACCUGAUUGAUUUUGGUCGCCAACGAGUGGCGGACGGGUGAGUAACACGUAGGUAACCUGCCCAGAAGCGGGGGACAACAUUUGGAAACAGAUGCUAAUACCGCAUAACAGCGUUGUUCGCAUGAACAACGCUUAAAAGAUGGCUUCUCGCUAUCACUUCUGGAUGGACCUGCGGUGCAUUAGCUUGUUGGUGGGGUAACGGCCUACCAAGGCGAUGAUGCAUAGCCGAGUUGAGAGACUGAUCGGCCACAAUGGGACUGAGACACGGCCCAUACUCCUACGGGAGGCAGCAGUAGGGAAUCUUCCACAAUGGGCGCAAGCCUGAUGGAGCAACACCGCGUGAGUGAAGAAGGGUUUCGGCUCGUAAAGCUCUGUUGUUAAAGAAGAACACGUAUGAGAGUAACUGUUCAUACGUUGACGGUAUUUAACCAGAAAGUCACGGCUAACUACGUGCCAGCAGCCGCGGUAAUACGUAGGUGGCAAGCGUUAUCCGGAUUUAUUGGGCGUAAAGAGAGUGCAGGCGGUUUUCUAAGUCUGAUGUGAAAGCCUUCGGCUUAACCGGAGAAGUGCAUCGGAAACUGGAUAACUUGAGUGCAGAAGAGGGUAGUGGAACUCCAUGUGUAGCGGUGGAAUGCGUAGAUAUAUGGAAGAACACCAGUGGCGAAAGCGGCUACCUGGUCUGCAACUGACGCUGAGACUCGAAAGCAUGGGUAGCGAACAGGAUUAGAUACCCUGGUAGUGCAUGCCGUAAACGAUGAGUGCCUAGGUGUUGGAGGGUUUCCGCCCUUCAGUGCCGGAGCUAACGCAUUAAGCACUCCGCCUGGGGAGUACGACCGCAAGGUUGAAACUCAAAGGAAUUGACGGGGGCCCGCACAAGCGGUGGAGCAUGUGGUUUAAUUCGAAGCUACGCGAAGAACCUUACCAGGUCUUGACAUCUUGCGCCAACCCUAGAGAUAGGGCGUUUCCUUCGGGAACGCAAUGACAGGUGGUGCAUGGUCGUCGUCAGCUCGUGUCGUGAGAUGUUGGGUUAAGUCCCGCAACGAGCGCAACCCUUGUUACUAGUUGCCAGCAUUAAGUUGGGCACUCUAGUGAGACUGCCGGUGACAAACCGGAGGAAGGUGGGGACGACGUCAGAUCAUCAUGCCCCUUAUGACCUGGGCUACACACGUGCUACAAUGGACGGUACAACGAGUCGCGAACUCGCGAGGGCAAGCAAAUCUCUUAAAACCGUUCUCAGUUCGGACUGCAGGCUGCAACUCGCCUGCACGAAGUCGGAAUCGCUAGUAAUCGCGGAUCAGCAUGCCGCGGUGAAUACGUUCCCGGGCCUUGUACACACCGCCCGUCACACCAUGAGAGUUUGUAACACCCAAAGUCGGUGGGGUAACCUUUUAGGAGCCAGCCGCCUAAGGUGGGACAGAUGA